GACCAAUAUACCAACGAGAUUGCAUCUUAAAUCAAGAUCACAACUCAGAAACCAACUUAAAUGAUCCAACAAACGUAUCUGGCAAUGAAUUUAUGCUCCAGUCUCGAUCACAACAAAGUCAGAAUCACGUGUAUGAAGAACCGAGAUGGGAACCCGAAAAUCAUUCCAAUGUUGUGAAAAUCAGCUUUGAAUCUCGUCCUCCCGGAUAUGAGGAACCUAUUAUUGUAACCUUUGAUAAGUCUUCGCAGAACCAGAGUGUUGAUCAAUGCAAAAAUUCUUCUGUCCGCGAUUCAAUGAUUAAUGAAGAUAAUGGUGAACGAUAUGCAUCUUUGAUAUUACCCCCAGGCUGUAGAAAUGACUUAGAAAAUAAUGACUAUCAACCACUGCUGAAGAAUGGUAAUGUAACAAAUGGUGAAAGUGUUGAUCAAUACCAAAAU